rnacentral:rRNA from 1 species
UACGUAGGUCCCGAGCGUUGUCCGGAUUUAUUGGGCGUAAAGCGAGCGCAGGUGGUUUAUUAAGUUUGGUGUAAAAGGCAGUGGCUCAACCAUUGUAUGCAUUGGAAACUGGUAGACUUGAGUGCAGGAGAGGAGAGCGGAAUUCCAUGUGUAGCGGUGAAAUGCGUAGAUAUAUGGAGGAACACCGGUGGCGAAAGCGGCUCUCUGGCCUGUAACUGACACUGAGGCUCGAAAGCGUGGGGAGCAAACAGG